rnacentral:rRNA from 1 species
AGUUUGAUCCUGGCUCAGGAUGAACGCUGGCGGCGUGCCUAAUACAUGCAAGUCGAGCGGUAAGGCCCUUCGGGGUACACGAGCGGCGGACGGCUGAGUAACACGUAGGAACGUACCCCAAAGUGAGGGAUAAGCACCAGAAAUGGUGUCUAAUACCGCAUGUGCUCUAAGGAGUAAAGCUCCGGCGCUUUGGGAACGGCCUGCGCAUGAUUAGCUAGAUGGUGAGGUAAUGGCUCACCAUGGCGACGAUCAUUAGCUGGUCUGAGAGGAUGAUCAGCCAGACUGGGACUGAGACACGGCCCAGACUCCUACGGGAGGCAGCAGUAGGGAAUUUUCCACAAUGGGCGAAAGCCUGAUGGAGCAACGCCGCGUGCAGGAUGAAUGCCUUCGGGUUGUAAACUGCUUUUAUAUGUGACGAAUAUGACGGUAGCAUAUGAAUAAGGAUCGGCUAACUCCGUGCCAGCAGCCGCGGUCAUACGGAGGAUCCAAGCGUUAUCCGGAAUUACUGGGCGUAAAGAGUUGCGUAGGCGGCAUAGUAAGCAGAUAGUGAAAGCGUGUGGCUCAACCAUACUCACAUUAUCUGAACUGCUAAGCUAGAGGACGAGAGAGGUCACUGGAAUUCCUAGUGUAGGAGUGAAAUCCGUAGAUAUUAGGAGGAACACCAAUGGCGUAGGCAGGUGACUGGCUCGUUCCUGACGCUCAGGCACGAAAGCGUGGGGAGCAAACGGGAUUAGAUACCCCGGUAGUCCACGCCGUAAACGAUGGAUGCUAGCUGUUAGAGGUAUCGACCCCUCUAGUAGCGAAGCUAACGCGUUUAAGCAUCCCGCCUG